GCUCUGUUACUGUGUCACUUGGAGGUGUGUUCAUGUGACGCCAUCAAGGUCAGAAGGAAAUAAAUGUCCUCUGAGUUUAUUCUUAGAUUGAGGGCAAAGUUUAGAGUGGGACUAAAAACAUACGAGGCAGAAAAAGUGAUUUUUUACCUGCACGCAACUUUCAGAACAGGAUCAGAUCGACAUGUAGACUGACGCUUCAUUACUGAUCUGCAAAGACGAGACUUGGAAAAAUAGGAGCUGCUGUAUGUGGAGGCGAAGGGAAGUGUUCAGGUUUUCAGAAUGAGGCUCUCUGGUGGAUUUGAUGAUGGGACCUGGUCCAGAAACACUGAACAGACUAAUCAUCCUCACACCGGCUGCCACCGCCAGCCUGCACGUGAAGACAAACUGAUUCACACCACCGUACACCCUCAGAUGAACCACAACCCCCCUGAAGACCUGAUGGACUUCAACUUUAACUUCCAGCCUUCAUUUGCAAAACUCGUAUGUGUGAGGACGAGCAGUAAAGGAUACCCCCCAGAUUUCUGACAACGGCACGAAGCUUCACAGUUUGUUCAUGUUCCGUAUGGAAAACCUUCUGUAUCCUGAACGCAGACGUACAGGUGGAAAACCCGACGCACACUCACCUUAUGAGGAAACAACAGGAACUUUGUACACGUUAGCUCCGUUUUUGUUUUUUUGUUUUUUUUACCAGAUGUCACAUCAUUGGGAACAGCUAAAAACGAUGGAAAGACAAGGGUUUUUUUUUGUUUUUGUUUUUUUUACAUAAGGCGGAAAUAUGUUAGUUUAAAGUCACAUAUUAGAUAUUCUGUGAUUCUUAAAGGCUUCCAUUUAAAAAAACCCUAUGUGUAAAAUUAUCUCUGAUUAUUUCAGGCUUUUUUUUUAAAAAGAUGUGAUCCUCCACGUCAGUUAUGUUUUAUUGUUGUAUUUGUAUUUUGUAUUUAUUUAUUUAUUUUGA